ensembl:lncRNA
AAAUAAAUGCUGCGUCUCAACAUGCCUUGGACAGCAGCGAGGAUGACUCGCUUUGCCACGGGCCGAAACAGUUCUGAGCGACCACAGCCAGAGCGAACACAGCGGGGCAGAGGAGUGUCAGGAAGUCUUUGGUGUACACAUCAGUCGUCUUACAAUGGGCAGAGUGGUAGAUAUAACAGAGUGGCGACACUUCCAUUGGACUCCGUUGUAGCGCCUACUUCCGGGGUAUGGAGCCUCGAAUAGUUCCAAACAACCAUUUUACGGCGUAGGAGACCGUUCAUUUCCAUUGCUGGCCGCCGAGUAACUUCUGAGAAAUUAGUCUGACUGCUGAUCCUGUUGGUGGAUGCUGUUGGUGGCUGCUGGUGGUGGCGGCUGACGACGUUUGCUGAUGGUGGUGGCUGGUGCUGGCGUUGGCUGCUGGUGGUGGCUGCUGGUAGAUGCUGCUUGUUGUGACUGCUGGAAUAAGAGGAGGCUGGGGGCUGCGGACGGUGGGCCAGGAAUGGAGAGGCCAAAUACAUCCAUGGCAAGCAGUAAGCCAGUUGGCAGUGGCCUAGAUGUUAUGACCUCAGCUCAUGGCAUGAGGGAAGGUUGCUGUCCAGACCCAUGGCCUCUCUUUCCAGCUGUGCCACUACAUUGGAGGACUGCAUGAGGGAAUCACUCGUCUGAGAACGGAACAGCUGCUCCACGUUCUGCAGGAGAGUGAACACCUCAUCGGAUGGACGGUGGUAGAGGACACAGGACUCGGUCUUUGUCAUGUCAGGUGGUGAUGGGUCUACCAGCUGCUCCACUCUCACAACCUCAGAAGCACUGCAGCUGCUUUUCUGGGUGUCCAGGAAGUCCGCCAAGUGGUCUGAUGCAUCAUCCAGAUCUUGCUGGACCUCCAGAAUUGUUGUUGUGGCCAUCACCAGUCCAGUCUGGACUGGUUUCCAGCUGCCCUGGGGACCGAUCUUCAGGCCCCGAAAAAGAUGGAUCGAGUCGCGGAGGAAGCUGAUGGCCUUUUCAUACUCUUCCAUCUUGAAAUGACUGAGGGCACAAACAACAUUGCGGGAUGACAUGAGGUCAAACCAGUGGUCCAUCUUCUCCAAAAACCAUGACGUUUUAAGGCUCCAGGACACCUCUGGACAGAUUGGGUGCAAGCUUAAGUGCCAUGCCCUCCUGGAAGGACACCAGAUCCUUUAAGGGGGCAACAGAGACUUCACUCGAUGCCAGCUGCUCCUUUUCCACCACAUCCUGUGGUAUGGUGAUGAUGUGACCACGGACAAUGGCACUCUUCAAGUUCUUGACGAGAUAAGGAACGUCAGGCAUGAAAUGGAGGCGCUGGCUUGGCUCAACAGGAUGCUGGAUCCAUGGCUUGUCAUAGGUCACCCCAAAGGACUUCCACAUUGCUCUAUUGGGGCUCCCCAUGUCUGUGGUGAUGUUCAGUACAUGAAGCCCUACAGAUGCCGCUGCUUCAACAAUGUUGAUUAUGAUGGGCCGGUAAACUGCUCCAUUGGUGGAAUUGCCACUAUAGUGGUAAGCCACAACUUGUUUCCACCGUGUUGUAGCUCCAGCCAGCAUAAACACCAGUGCAUGUGUCGCUUGUCCUUUGUGCUCAGGCAGUGUGACAUUGCCAAAUAGCCUCCCCGUUCCCAAAUGGAGCUCCACGCCUGGAGUAAUGGACAUCUCAUCUAAGUUGCCUUAUUAGGUCCUCCACAGUCGCCCCAUCAGUCCCUGGCGGUCUGGUCCCUGGCGGUCUGGUCCCUGGCGGUCUGGUCCCUGGAGCAGCUGGCCCUGGAGCAGAUGGUCCUGGCAAAGUUAUAACUUCACUGUUGACCCCUGACUGACUGGCCCUCGGCACACACAUCCCUGGAUCACCUGCCCCUGGAUCACCUGCCACUGAAUCACCUGCCACUGGCAAUGUGGCCUCUUGAUUUCUCUCUCUG